UGGGGAAUUUUGGACAAUGGGCGCAAGCCUGAUCCAGCCACGCCGCGUGCGGGAAGAAGGCCUUCGGGUUGUAAACCGCUUUUGUCAGGGAAGAAAUCUUCUGAGUUAAUACCUCGGGAGGAUGACGGUACCUGAAGAAUAAGCACCGGCUAACUACGUGCCAGCAGCCGCGGUAAUACGUAGGGUGCAAGCGUUAAUCGGAAUUACUGGGCGUAAAGCGUGCGCAGGCGGUUUUGUAAGACAGAGGUGAAAUCCCCGGGCUCAACCUGGGAACUGCCUUUGUGACUGCAAGGCUUGAGUGCGGCAGAGGGGGAUGGAAUUCCGCGUGUAGCAGUGAAAUGCGUAGAUAUGCGGAGGAACACCGAUGGCGAAGGCAAUCCCCUGGGCCUGCACUGACGCUCAUGCACGAAAGCGUGGGGAGCAAACAGGAUUAGAUACCCUGGUAGUCCACGCCCUAAAACGAUGUCAACUGGUUGUUGGGAAGGUUCCUUCUCAGUAACGUAGCUAACGCGUGAAGUUGACCGCCUGGGGAGUACGGCCGCAAGGUUGAAAACUCAAAUGAAUUGACGGGGUCAUAGCUGUUUCCUG
rnacentral:rRNA from 1 species